rnacentral:rRNA from 1 species
ACCUGCCCUAUGGAGGGGGACAACAGUGGGAAACCGCUGCUAAUACCGCAUACCUUAUUAAGAUUGCAUGGUCAUAAUAAGAAAGAGUUAUCGCCAUAGGAUGGGCCCGCGUCUGAUUAGCCAGUUGGUAGGGUAACGGCCUACCAAAGCAACGAUCAGUAGCCGGCCUGAGAGGGUGAACGGCCACAUUGGGACUGAGACACGGCCCAGACUCCUACGGGAGGCAGCAGUGGGGGAUAUUGCACAAUGGGGGGAACCCUGAUGCAGCAACGCCGCGUGAGUGAAGAAGUAUUUCGGUAUGUAAAGCUCUAUCAGCAGGGAAGAUGAUGACGGUACCUGCAUAAGAAGCCCCGGCUAACUACGUGCCAGCAGCCGCGGUAAUACGUAGGGGGCAAGCGUUAUCCGGAUUUACUGGGUGUAAAGGGAGUGUAGGCGGUACGGCAAGUCUGAUGUGAAAACCCUAAGCUCAACUAAGGGAUGGCAUUGGAAACUGUCGAACUAAAGUGUGGGAGAGGCAGGCGGAAUUCCUAGUGUAGCGGUGAAAUGCGUAGAUAUUAGGAGGAACACCAGUGGCGAAGGCGGCCUGCUGGACCAAGACUGACGCUGAUGCUCGAAAGCGUGGGGAGCAAA